AUUUUAAUAGAAUAGUAAAUAAAUUCUAAUCAAAUUUGAACAAUGCUAAAUAGGCUUUAAUCAAAUUCAAAAGUAAAUCUUAAAGAAAUUACAAAAGAAAUAAUAAGAAAUUUUAAGAGAAUUAAAAAAUAAUCUACAAUAAAUCUUAAAAAAAUCCUUAAGAAGUCCUAAAAAUAAAUUAAAAUAAUCAAAGUAUAUCUUAAAUAAAUCUCAACCAAGUUCUAAUUUAAUCCUAGUGGAAUCUUUAAUAGACUUUGAUCAAAUCCUAGACAAAUCUUAAAUUCUAAACCAAAUCUUAAUCAAAUCUUAAUCAAAUCCUAAAUCUUAAAUCAAAUCUUAGAAAAAUCCUAAUCAAAUCCUAAAUCCUAAAUCAAAUUCUAACCAAAUCCUAACCAAUCCUAAAUCCUAAAUCAAAUUCCUAAGGUGGUUUAGAACCUCAAUAUUUUUUCAUUAAAUCAUUGAUCUUAUUUAAAAUUUUACACAUUUUUUAAUCUCUUGCUUACAAAUAAAUAAAAAAAAAAUGAGGACAACCACACUUAUGAAAUGGAAGAAAAAUCCUAAAAUCUGCUUAGAUGUUGGAUGGCAUCUUUCUCCAACCUUGAUAUUAAUCUUCAAGUGUUAAUAUCUCUCUUUUAUAUCAUUAAAUUGAUCUCAAAUUUCUCAAACAUGCAGAAAAAUAAAUCUACUUCUCAAAUAUACAACUUUUACUCUAAUUCAAUUGAUAGAUUGCAAGAAAAUUUAGAAACCUUCACUAGAUUUAAAAUUCUACUUUUCA
rnacentral:lncRNA from 1 species